GACGAAGGAUGCAAGCGUUAUCCGGAUUCAUUGGGUUUAAAGGGAGCGUAGGCGGUCUUGUAAGUCAGUGGUGAAAUCUCGGAGCUUAACUCCGAAACUGCAUUCGAUACUGCCGUGCUUGAGGACUGGAGAGGAGACUGGAAUUUACGGUGUAGCGGUGAAAUGCGUAGAUAUCGUAAGGAAGACCAGUGGCGAAGGCGGGUCUCUGGACAGUUCCUGACGCUGAGGCACGAAGGCCAGGGGAGCAAACGGG
rnacentral:rRNA from 1 species